UUAAAGCCACAACAACCAUGAUUGUUGUCAUUGAGGUGUUGGGGCGCGCCUUCUAAUUCUCAGAUCUGUUUCGUUUGCUUUUGCUUCUCUUUAAUCUCUUUAUGGAUCUAAAUAGAUCGUUUUACGAUCUAUACGUUGGUCAGGGCUUUUCUGGGAUCUGUGCGAUCCUCUCGGUACUUGAGUACAGGCUCUAUAUACCGCCUACGGCAGAGUUUGCGAGGUCAUGAUAAUGGAUAGAUCUAUCUCCAGUCGAGUAAAUCGAGGUUCGGGUUUCUGCUGUUUUUGGGACGGUCGUUGGAUCUGGAAUAAGGAUGGACGGAAGUUUGUGUUUGCUUUACUUAAUUCUUAUAGAUCGGUUCUGCUGGAGCUGGCUUAUUGGAGGAUAUCCAGACCGCUGCGGUGUCAGAGAUCAUAGAAGCUGUUGAUAGUUGGCAGAAAUUACAGUAAGCUGGAUAAAGGUUUUCGUUAUACUGAGUAAUUUGUUCACAGGUUGUUUUAUUAUUCUUGUAUCGUUUGAAGAAGGUCUAUCUUGUGAGGAAGAAAAAUUGUGAGUUUGAAAAAAUUGUUGUGAAAAAAAAUUAUGUUUGAGAGAACAAAAGAUGAGAGGUAAGAUUUGUAAGGUGAAGAUUUUAGAGAUGGAUUAUGCUGUGUGUUCGUGUUCGACCUUUGCCAUGACAGGUGCGCUUGCAUGGCAGGUCAAAAACCCUAAUAAAAUUAUUAUUUUUUGUUUUCGGGGGAGAUGGUACGGGGAUUCGUUUUUUCUUAAAUCCCUGGCUCUCCUCCUGGCUGGUGUGUCUGCCUUUUUUUUCCCUCUCUUCAGUCUCUUGCUGGUUGAGUGAAUUGUUUGGUUUGAUGCCAAACCCGCAACAACCAUCUGUAAAGGCAAUAUAUAUUUCCGCGCACAGUUUGAAAUUCAUCAGCACACCGUGCAGGCUACCCAAUUGCUAAUGGUCUACGCGAUGGAACACAGGUACAAAUAAGUGAAGCACACAAGUUUAAUUCAUUUACUCUUUAUUGGACUUAUUUUACGACAUAAAUAUACUAUAUAAACAGCCAUAGCAGGUACCAGGUAGUAUGACAACCUUUCAAUUUAUCUAUCCUGUAUAACAACAUUAAUCACUUGCAUGUUCAUUUUAAUGAUCUUUAAAUGUUUCUUUAACAUAGCUUUUUCUGCUAUGGAUAUACUAUUAAAUUUCAUAUAUUUAAGAUUUUCGAGAAUAUUAUUAUCAUUUUAAACUAACCUGGUAAUCUACUUAUGAAAUAAUUCUAAAAAAGCUUUUUCAAGUUGACUCAGUCUAUAUUAUUUACAAGGGAUCAUUUCAUAUGUUAUAUACAGAGUUAUUCUAUAGAAGAUAGAUAGUGGUUGAUACUUGAACUUGCAAUUUCUUGUCUUAAAAGUAAUGUUUGCCAAAUUUUAGUCCUUUAAGUUAUUUAUACAUCCAAUUUUUAUCAAUCAAAUUGAAUAUACCAAAUUAUAUAUGCUUAAAAAAACUAUUGUAUAUUUACUUAUAAUUAACCAUUGUUGUGAUAUUGGAUAAUAAGUGGCUAAAUAAUGUACAACUAUCUGCAUUAUUUGUGGUCUUUAAAGUGUGUCCGCAUUAUUAUUUCAGUACUAAUUCAUUGCUGCUGUUAAAUAUGUUGCCUUUUUAUUCUGUAAGAUUUGGUCCUGUUAUUUGUUGUUGGACCAUUUUUGAGUUUGGCUGUCAGUUGAUUGGUGGGGGUUACCACUGUUGUAAAUUUGAAGGUAUUGUAUCUUUGUAUCAUAUUGUAAGGGGGAGAAGCUUGUGUACGAAGCAUUUGGGUUCUUUAUUUUGUGAAGAUUCUUUUUUGUUGUGGAAUGUUACCAGCUGAAUCAGCAUGGAUGAAGAAUAUUGUUCCUUGUGAUGCUUGUCAAGGCCUUCUCUUGGAGCUGCUUUCGGACAUGGUUGAAGGGAUUUUUUAAAUUAGGAAUAUGAGGUUAAAUAUUCCCAUGUGAUCGCGGGGUUUUGGCAUUUUUGUCACCGUAGUAACCGUCAUCCUGUCAUUGUGAACUGUGUUGCUUUCAAAGAAAUUAGUUUUGCUGUCAUUGGAGAUUCUAUUGCUUUCAUCAGGCUUGCGUUCAAUUUCUGGAGUUUUGUGGCUUGUUAAGUCGAGCUGCCCUGACUAUGGUAUUUUUGGCUUGCUCAACCUCUCGGUCCCCAUUGAAGAUGGUGGAGUUUAACUUGUGACAUGUCUCUUAUUUCCUUGUUAAGGGCUUGCGUUUCCUCCUCGUGCUGGUAGCUCAGUUUAAUUAUCCUCUCGUUUAGUAUAUAUUGCUGAUUAUUUAAUCUAUUGCUUGAGUACAGAGUUGUUCAAGGCAAUUUUAAUAUUUUAUCUUCAAUCUGUUUCUUAUUUUUGGAUCUUGUUUAUUUACCUAUAGCUCUUUAUUUGUAACCAGGCUGAUUUUGUCUGAUGUAUUCAUUGGAAGUUACUUUCAGAAA